CCCAUUUAGACAGUGUCGCAUGAUACAAAAAGGCUGUCUGCAUCCUCCCCCGUGCCUCCUUGUUCAUUUAUUAAUCCCACAACCACCCCUCAAAGCCAAGGGCUGGCAGAAGACAGGAUAUGACAUUUCCAUGUUGCAGAAUGGCCACCUGUUUAAUGGAGAACAUAGUGAGAUUGUCACCAUUUGUCUGUGUCUUUUCUUUUUAGAAAGCACCCUGUGCGCUCGGGAUGUUUUUUACUGAGGCAUUACAACAGAGACAAUCGAGGAAGUGAUGAGACACAACCCUGUGGAGCAGCUUAUUUUCAUGUCUUUGUCACUUUCCGGUCUGGGGAUGUACCGUCAAAUCGAGAGGACACCGAGACAUCUUGUAAAUGUUUACAGGUUAUGGUCAUUUUGUGAGGUCUGUCUAAAAGAAAUGAAUACUUUUCUCCCCGAAUGAACUCUGAAGGUCUGUUUAAUUUAAUGUCCACUUUCUAUGCAGGGGAAGACGCAAAAAGAAGAUGCUGAUGAGUAAAUGUGGCUUUUGCGGUUCUGGGACUCAUUUCAUGAAGGGGAUUUGCAAGGAUUCACAGUCACUUUCCAAUCGCAAGCUCGAUUUCAGGAAACAUUCUCCAAUAAAUCUUUGACUCCCCGUCUGGAGUUGCAAGGAGGAGAUUACCAGCCCUUUUCCAUCAGAUUCCCCAAGAUCUGGAGAAAGAAAAAUGAAGAUAUGCUCAUGAAUAAACUGGCGGAUCCACAAGAAAAAUUCCUCAAGAUGUUGCAGCUGGAGUCUUUCCCAGAAACCAGUAUGGGAGAGAGAGCACAUUUAUCAUCAAGGAACAGCGAAAGUAGAAGAAAUAAAUAAAUAAUGUGCACAAUGACUCUCCAGUACAAGAAUUACACAUAAAGAGGAAACUGUGUUUCCAGUAUUUAAAAGGUUGUUAUACAUCUGCUCAGCCAUGAUAGUGUUCUUCACUUCAAUUAUAUUAUACUGUGUAAUGCAUCUAUUCAUCCAUUGGUAAAGAGCCCAAUAAAAUGAUGUUUUAACAACUAGAGCCUGAAAACACUGCUUCAGUAUAAACAAGAAAAUACUCAGCGAGAAACUCUUGUCUUUCAGUCUUAGCUUUAUGGCAUAUUGCCUAUGUCUCCGAGUAGUAUAUUUGAGCGAUAACUUUCCUUUUUAAAACUUUCAGAUUACAAAAUGUUAUUAAAUGUAAUUAAAUUGUGGAACUGGCAAACUCGUAAUGACGAGCAAUAACAACAGAAAAUACAUAAGAAGAAACUACUAUGUGUUUAUAGUUUGUGCUACAGUUUGUAAAUAUUAAUAUGUAUACAUUCCUUUUCCCCUUGGAAUAGUAUCCUGAAAGGGUCCUGAGAUGAACAAGGAUCAUUAAAAUCUUUAAUACAUCAAUUUAAUAUGUGAAUAUAUAUGCAUCCAGUAAUUUCAAAUAUGCAUUAUAUCAUCACCAAACAAGUGACUCCCGUAGUGAGUCGCUUGAGAAUGAUAAAAUGCUAAAACGUGUAUUAUUCAGUUUCUGGAAAGAUCACUGUGAAGCUGUGCAUUCACUAAUUACACAAUGCCAGGGCACAUUUGCUACAUAGCGUUUUGGACUGGAUCUGUUAUUGUGAAAAUGAAUUAUGAAAACCAAAGGGCCUGCAAGCAUUGCACACCAAAAACUGAGCGGUUCUCAGUCGUAGCGCAUGAUGUGAGAAGAAAUUGUGGACCAUCAUUUUGGCACUAGUUUUUAUUAAAUGCCUCAAGAAAAAAGGAAGCAGGGCAGUUCAUUUGGGAAUAGAAUCUUGUCAGGCCUCUAGGGACAUCGCUAAACACAAUCUGCUAGAAUGCAAUUACUAUAGCAACAUGCUGCCAGUUUGUGUCGUCUUUCUUCUUCGCCAAGGAGGACAUGUCACAAGCAAGGACUAAAAGAAGGGGGUUAACAGAUAACUCAGCUCUCUUUCUUUAUCCCGUGUGGCCACAAAGACAAAAUGCACAAACCACACAGCAACAUAAGCCCAAUUUCUACUACAUGCACCUUAUAAUCCUUAUAAUUACAUAUUAGAUCACAUCUUUUUCUAGUGAAUAACAUGCAAGUUUAUACACAAUUGUGUUCUGUACCAUGCCAAUGUAUCAUGUGCAUCCAUAAUUAAGUGCGCAAAAAAGCAUGUUUUUUCCCAGACUGUUCUCUAGAUUAUUUUUAUUGACUGCAUUUUCAUCUUGAACUUACAUCUUGCCAAUUAAGACACAUUUUUGAUCAAGAGACUGGCAAGCCAUUCAGUUGCUGUUGGUUCAGCAAUUUGAUUCAAAGGUUUCUGAGUUUAUUUACCACAAUCACUGUUACCCUUGCUUUUGAGAUGUAAUGUACUAGUUGAUUUAAUAAUGAACUUGUGUGUGUGUGUGUUUGGUAAUGCGAGGUUUCGUAGUGUGCUGAAGCCGUGCUGAAAAGUUGAGCAUCCCUGUUUUUAAAGGUAUACUGUGUAGGAUUUUGCGGCCCUCUUUCGUCCUCAACCCCACACCUCGGUUGACGACACAUCCUCGAGCGCUACAAGCAAAUCUGGAACAUGGACUGUAAAAGAGCUAUCCUGGGUUUUACUCCAAACAGUUAUCCAGUUAAUUUAGUAAUCCUGCUUCCUGAAAUACCCCCUGGACCUUUAGAUAGAAUUAGGAUAUAAACAUGGAAUCGCAUGGGGAAUAAGUAACAUUAGCAUCAUAGCUUGCUAAUAUACUUGUAAAGUGUAAAGUGACUUUUCCUUCAAAGAUGAUUACUCUUACAAUAUUUUUUCUCUUUGCACCAUCCAACUCUUUUGUCACCACUUAUGUCACUAAGAAUGAAUUGCAUUCUAAUUGCACAAUGCCCAUGGGAUGACAGAUUAGUCUACUGAGUAACACACUUCGUUUAACACAUUUUGUUUAGGAGUCCAUUGUUUGAUGCAAUAGCUUCACAAGCGACUUUCAAUCAACGUGGUUGGAGUGGAGAAACAGACAGUCUGGCUGCUUCAACCACACCCCCAGUCACCUCCCAGGCUGGAAAAAGUGUCGCCUGUUGGGAGAUGAUCCAUUUAAAUGCAGCACACUGCCACGCUGGAUCAUAGAGGGACUGCAGGGAAGAAGAAGUGCCGUGUCACAUGUAAGUGGGGCUAAUGAAGUGGUUAAUUAAUAGCUGGCUCUGUGUCAUGCUCCUUGGGGAACAUUAACUUAAACUCCAGGUCCCCUCCCCUCCCACCUUGUCCAGAAUGAAAUAACACAAUGUGUGUCCCUGGGCUCUGUUUAGCUCUGAUGUUGUGCAAAAUUUGCUGGAGCAGAAAGGCAGCUGAUGAAAUCAUUACAAUCUUUAAUUCUUAAUUAAGGCUGUGGAGGUCACUUGCAAUCAGGAUCUGCCAUUUUGAAGGUUUGGGGAGUUACAAGCAAUUCUCAGGGAGAACCAAACCUGCCAUACAAUGCGUGCUUCUCUGGCCUGGAGUCAGUCUUCUGGUUAAGGGGUCACAAAUUUUCCUUUCCUGAAAUACUGAGCAAAGGGACAAUCCACAUGUUUGCUGUAAUGCACUGCUAAGACAAGUAAUGCUACCAGGUGGAUGAGAAUUGACCUUGUAAAUAAUAAGAAAAAAUAUUUUGGAGGAACAGGAUAUAGAUAGCUGUUCCAUUUGUUUAUGCAUGCGGACAGGAAAGCUUUGAAGUUCAGUGAAUUAUGUUUUUUUGUAAGAUUCAAGUUCAGAGACUGGUAUUUACCUGAACUUGCAAAUGCAACUCGAAUCCUGCUUACAUGAAUUGUACAAAUCAUGUUUAAGAGAACUCUGUCCUUGUCAGAUUUAGCCAAUCUCAACCUUUGAAAAGCAUGAAAGUGGUAUUAAAUGACCUGUAGCAAUCUCUGUCAUGCAGACUGUCAAGAGAAAUCCGGUAAUAUUUUGGGCUAGGCUUUGGCGGGAUUACUGUGAAUAUGGCUUAGCUGUUUGUCUUGCGCUGCCUUCCCUGUAGCUAAGAAUUCUCCAUAUGCCUGCAGGCCAAACUCAGCCUCUCAGCCCCACCCCUCCCCUGUCCCUCGCCUGUAUGCCUUUUAUCCGGGGAGUUAAUUAGUUCUUGCUAUCUUGGCCAGCCAGAAUGUGAAAAUAGCAGGGAGUCAAGCUAGCUGGAGACAAGCUAGGUGAGAUGACAACAUCCUGGGGGAGGUAUUGAUCAAUAAGACAGUGUGGCACAUUAUUCACCAGUCAAUGCACGCAAUCUCUUUCUUUUUUGGUCUCUUUCCCUCUCUGUCUUUCACUUACUGUCACCUGCACACAAAUGCAGUCAUGGAGUCACAUUUUGCUAACCCUCAGGAACAGGAACAAAUAAGCAUUAUUUAUAAACAGUAAUCUUCAAGUACCUGUGGAUUGUAUGUUGAGUAAUUAAUUAAAAUGCGUUCGCAAUAACUUUUCAUCAAAUUCGUUAAAAUUUACAUUUCUUGUUAUAAAGGGGGUGUGCACAAUGAAUUAGAAGAAUACUGUGAUGCUUUUGCUAGAAUAGUACAUUCGUAAUUACAUCCUCAAGACUUUCUUCCCCCAUUGCUUAUAUUCUGGAUCAGACCUUUUAAAGAAAUAAAGAAUUGGGGGAAAAAAAAGUCUCAUGUCAUUAAUUUUUUCAGUAAUCCAGUUCUGUGGCUCUUCUGUGAAAUGGAUUUGCAUGCAGAUGACAGGGAGGAUAGACACUCCAGCAUGCUGCAUUUUUGACACAUGGGAUAUUUUUGUCCCAGGGUAAUAAUGAUCACACGUGCUUAACCAAUUUAUUUUUUUUCUGUCAACAUUUAAAGAAACAGAGAAACUGGAGAAGGUGAGAAAGUUCACCUGAAGCAGAAGCCUUUUUAAUAAGCCCUCCUGGGCCAGCAAACCAUGUAAACCUAGAACUUUCAAUAAAAUCAGCUCUCAUGUGCUCCCAGAUGUAUCAUGGAUUUGCAAAGCCUCUCGAAAAUAUGAUUAAUUAUGAAUAUUGCUAAUUUAUACCAGCUUACAAUUUCAGUUCUGAUUAAAGGAAACAUGAUUAAAAAACAAAACUACACAAAACAAAGCAAUCUCGAAAACAGGGCGCUGUACAUAGGGCGGCAUACAGAUCUUGUUUUAAUGGUUAUCUCAUGAAUUUUUACAAAGAGCAUUCUUACUAAAAUGCAGGAACAUUCAAAAUUUGCAGAAAACUAGGAUAAGCCUGUGAUCUGGCUCAGGUGCUACAAAGGAAUUUGGCUGACUGCUGCUGAAGAUAUUGUUGUUGGGAUAAAAUGCUCAAAUUGUAUUUCAUUAACCUUAAAAAAAAAAAAGGUUACUUGUCCACCAGCAUUACAAACUUAUGAAAACAUUAAGCAUAAUUUCCAAUUAAUACUAAUGUAACUAUUAGAAAAGUACACAAUGUUAAUGCUAUAUUUCUAUAAAACUGCACAAACCUGAUAUCCAUGGAUGUUCUGAAAUAUGCACAUAUUUCUGCAAAGCCUCAGUAAGACAUUUCAGUUUUUUUCAGACCAGUGAGAGAUUUGCAGAUAUGUACAGUAAAUAGUGCAGCCAUUGUUGUAAAGGAUGAGGGCAGGACCUUACUCACAAAAAUCUAAUUGUCGGAAACACCUGUUUCACCAUGAAUCAGCAAGUUUCUGAUUAACUGACUGAUGAUGAUUAGCCUCGCGAGCCAGUCUCUUCCUUCACUUCGUUCAACACAGCCUGGCUGAUGCCUUGAUGUUCUAGGCAUAAACGAAGGAGGCAACCUUCCCGGGAUAGUUGUAUUUUCCCAACCAAUCAGAGUGUUUUGGCCAGGCGUGGUCUGAAACGUGCAUCAGAAAACAUUACCGGAGGCAAACUUUUCCACAGACCCGCAUCAUUUCGCCACCUAUUUGGGGAAAAUGAUUGUAUUGAUUGUAACGGGCAAACAAUCAAAAGCAUUGGGUGAACCGGCACACUGAGACAGACAGUUCGAUUAACCAAUAGGGAAGCUCCUCCCUUUUGCCCCAGAAAGUACAUGCGUUCGUCCAGACUAGAUGCUGAUUGGCUUAAAUGAGUAUCUGUUUGUCAUUUACCUUAGAUUUAUAAUGAAUAUUUAAGCAGAAAAUGGGGUUGGAAGUGCACUUUAUUUGAAAGGCACUGCGAGUAUUUUGUGGAAUGGUGUUACGGUAGGAUGAUGCUGGUGGAAAAUACCAGUGGGGAAACUUGUGACAGAGAUCUCCUUCUCUGGAUGACAGGACUAGGAUGACAACGGCACCAUUAUACUGAUUACUGAUCAUUGUACAGAUACUAAUUUUGUGGGAUAUUUUUCUUGAAAUAACAAACAAUGAAACACUGAGGUUAUAUCUCUGAACUAUUUUAAUUACUCAAUCAUUGCACUGGGCGGCACGGUGGUGCAGUGGGUCGCCUCACAGCGAGCAGGUCCUGGAUUCCUGGCCGGGGCCUUUCUGUUUGGAGUUUGCAUGUUCUCCCCAUAGGCUUCCUCCAGGUACUCCGGUUUCUUCCCACGGUCCAAAGACAG